AAAAAGUUUACAUAUGUCUGAAAAGUGAAUCUGAAAAUAAGUUAGCUUGUUUAUGUAUGUUUACUUUGAACUAGGUUUUGCACCUAAUUUGAGGUUUUUCAUUAAAAUCCACCAGUCUAUCAAAAAUAAUUUUCAGAACAUUAAACACAUUUUAAUACAUUCAAGCUUCAAAUCACUAAUCUCCAAUUUUCAAGGUCAUAAUGGAAUGUUAAAGCAAGUGUGUUUAUAGGUGCAUCUCAAAAAAUGAUGCACCUGUACAUGAAGUUCAUGCUUAACUCACACACGAAGUUUCCUCAUUCCUUUCAUAUUACAGAUCUCUGG